GACGAACGCUGGCGGCGUGCUUAACACAUGCCAGUCGAACGAAGAGCGACGGAAGCUUGCUUCUAUCAAUCUUAGUGGCGAACGGGUGAGUAACGCGUAAUCAACCUGCCCUUCAGAGGGGGACAACAGUUGGAAACGACUGCUAAUACCGCAUACGAUCUAACCUCAGCAUCGAGGAUAGAUGAAAGGUGGCCUCUACAUGUAAGCUAUCACUGAAGGAGGGGAUUGCGUCUGAUUAGCUAGUUGGAGGGGUAACGGCCCACCAAGGCGAUGAUCAGUAGCCGGUCUGAGAGGAUGAACGGCCACAUUGGGACUGAGACACGGCCCAGACUCCUACGGGAGGCAGCAGUGGGGAAUCUUCCGCAAUGGACGAAAGUCUGACGGAGCAACGCCGCGGGAGUGAUGACGGCCUUCGGGUUGUAAAGCUCGGUUAAUCGGGACGAAAGGCCUUCUUGCGAAUAGUGAGAAGGAUUGACGGUACCGGAAUAGAAAGCCACGGCUAACUACGUG
rnacentral:rRNA from 1 species